rnacentral:tRNA from 1 species
CGGGGUGUAGCGCAGCUUGGGCAGCGCGUCUGACUAGGAGCCAGAAGGUCGGACGUUCGAAUCCUCUCACCCCGA